UUGCAGUUAAAAAAGUACUCUUGUUUAACAGAGGCAAUCUCAAAGGUUUUGCAUGACAGUACAAGUUGAAUUAAGUUAUUAUCUCAGUAUGAGAACAGUGAGAGAGAAGUGAAAGCUUUGGUGACUGAGCUGAAACAGUACACAAUGUGAAGGUUAUAAGAGAAAGAUGAAAACCUUUCAUUCUGCAUCUGUCAUCUCAGUAAUUUUUCUGGAUGGCAGAUUCAUCUGAAUCCUCUUUUUUUUUUUUUUUUUGUUCUUCACUUUUUUAAAUGCGGGAUUGAUUCUCACAGGUGUAUGAAGGAAGGAAAUGGUAACUACAGAACAAGAAGAUACUGGAAUUCUUUCAGGCUAGCUCCUGGAAGAUCAAGCCCCUGCCCCACAGAGGAUUGUGGUUCCACUGCUGCUGACCUGAGAGCUGAAGCAUGAUCCAGUAGAUGAGACAGAUCAAGAGGAGUUUAAGGCUUUUCCAAAUAACUCAACUCUUUCUUAAAGUUCGUUGCAGUUCGUCCUUUCUUGAGCUUUCAGAGUCAGCCGACAGUCGUGCACUGAUCGCAGCAACUGAAGACUGCUGUGAAUCAUGAUGUGUCUGAAUUGAACUGCAGUGUUCGCCCAAACCUUCUUUUUCCAGA